rnacentral:rRNA from 1 species
UACGUAGGGUGCAAGCGUUGUCCGGAAUUAUUGGGCGUAAGGAGCUCGUAGGCGGUCUGUCGCGUCUGCUGUGAAAACUCAGGGCUUAACCCUGAGCUUGCAGUGGGUACGGGCAGACUAGAGUGCGGUAGGGGAGACUGGAAUUCCUGGUGUAGCGGUGAAAUGCGCAGAUAUCAGGAGGAACACCGGUGGCGAAGGCGGGUCUCUGGGCCGUAACUGACGCUGAGGUGCGAAAGCGUGGGGAGCAAACAGG